CCAAUUGUUGGGAUGUUUGGCAAGGACACAUCUUCAUAGGACCUUUUCGAUACUAUGUGUUGCAGCAGGAAGAAAGAAGAAACAAAAUAGAAACACAAUCAAAUACGUGGAUCAACCAAAAGACUCAUUUUUAGGGGACAUGCAAGCUUCACUAUGAAAAAGAAAAAAUUACAAGAGGAGAUCACACCCUCAACCCUCGUACACCCA
rnacentral:lncRNA from 1 species